UACAGAGGGGGCAAGCGUUGUUCGGAAUUACUGGGCGUAAAGGGCGCGUAGGCGGCCCGCUAAGUCGAACGUGAAAUCCCCGGGCUCAACCCGGGAACUGCGUCCGAUACUGGUGGGCUUGAAUCCGGGAGAGGGAUGCGGAAUUCCAGGUGUAGCGGUGGAAUGCGCAGAUAUCAGGAGGAACACCGAUGGCGAAGGCAGGUCUCUGGGCCGCAACUGACGCUGAGGAGCGAAAGCCAGGGGAGCAAACGGG
rnacentral:rRNA from 1 species